rnacentral:rRNA from 1 species
CAGCAGCCGCGGGAAAACGUAGGUGGCAAGCGUUGUCCGGAAUUAUUGGGCGUAAAGCGCGCGCAGGCGGAUCAGUUAGUCUGUCUUAAAAGUUCGGGGCUUAACCCCGUGAGGGGAUGGAAACUGCUGAUCUAGAGUAUCGGAGAGGAAAGUGGAAUUCCUAGUGUAGCGGUGAAAUGCGUAGAUAUUAGGAAGAACACCAGUGGCGAAGGCGACUUUCUGGACGAAAACUGACGCUGAGGCGCGAAAGCCAGGGGAGCGAACGGGAUUAGAUACCCCUGUAGUCCCUGUCUCUUAUACA